rnacentral:rRNA from 1 species
CAGUCGCCGCGGUAAUACGAAGGGUGCAAGCGUUAAUCGGAAUUACUGGGCGUAAAGCGUGCGUAGGCGGUGAGUUAAGUCUGCUGUGAAAUCCCCGGGCUCAACCUGGGAAUGGCAGUGGAUACUGGCUCGCUAGAGUGUGUCAGAGGAUGGUGGAAUUCCCGGUGUAGCGGUGAAAUGCGUAGAGGUCGGGAGGAACAUCAGUGGCGAAGGCGGCCAUCUGGGACAACACUGACGCUGAGGCACGAAAGCGUGGGGAGCAAACAGGAUUAGAUACCCCAGUAGUCCCUGUCUCUUAUAC